GCAACAUCUUUAGAACUAACGAUUUCUCUCUCCAAAGUCAGUAUCUCCGGGUUUUGUCUGCCUUCUUGUUCAGUUCUCAAGCCUCAGGUGCCAGUACUCUCAGCAGAUAUUGUGAGGUGCCGGUACUCUGAAGAGACAAACAAAGAGGUGCUGGUACUGCAUACCUGGUGAAAUAUGGCACAUAGUUAUGAGUCCAAAUGACCAGUGGACGUCUCUGCCUGUGACUGCAAACUGCCUGUUGUCAGACUGCGAUACACAGGAACUGGUUUCUUUACAGCCAUAAACAUCUAAGCAAUGGCUCACCAAGAGGUCUGGCUACAGCAUUUCGGCAUUUGAUGCAUUUUGUCCAUAAAUACCAGACACUGAAAGGCAGGAAAGCUUAAGUUGAGUAACGAUUUUCAGCUGAAGGUUGCUGAAAAUAGCAGACAAAAAGCUCCCUCUCCGCAGAGCUCUUCCCCAGGCUACUUCCAUACCGUACCGCCCUACAACAAAUGUUACAGAUGGGCUGUAACAGAAUAACUUAAUCUAAAAUAUGUAUAAUUAUAUUGGAUGGUGCCUUAACAUGAUGUUUGCAGUCUGUUUUGAUUUUGACCCUAUUGUUUUAAUGUGCUCUAUUGGAUCUUAAAUUUAAACUCUUUAUAUUGGACAGGUCUCUCUUUAAAAGAUUUUUUUUAAAUCAGUGAGACUAACACACACACACACACACACAUGUGCUUGUUAUAGUAAUAGAAAAUCAUAGCAGGUGUCUUCAGCAGCCACAUAAGACUGUGAGC